UACGGAGGGUGCAAACGUUGCUCGGAAUCAUUGGGCGUAAAGCGCACGUAGGCGGCCCAGCAAGUCGGGUGUGAAAUCCCUCGGCUUAACCGAGGAAGUGCAUUCGAAACUAUUGGGCUUGAAUACUCAAGAGGGUCUCGGAAUUCCCGGUGUAGAGGUGAAAUUCGUAGAUAUCGGGAGGAACACCAGUGGCGAAGGCGGAGACCUGGGGAGAUAUUGACGCUGAGGUGCGAAAGCGUGGGGAGCAAACAGG
rnacentral:rRNA from 1 species